rnacentral:rRNA from 1 species
GUAGGGAAUAUUGCACAAUGGGGGAAACCCUGAUGCAGCGACGCCGCGUGAGUGAUGAAGGCCUUCGGGUCGUAAAGCUCUGUCGUAUGGGACUAACACAAUGAAGGUACCAUGCAAGAAAGGAUCGGCUAACUUCGUGCCAGCAGCCGCGGUAAGACGAGGGAUCCUAGCGUUGUUCGGAAUCAUUGGGCGUAAAGCGGGUGUAGGCGGAUUUAUAAGUCAGGUGUGAAAUCCCAGGGCUCAACCCUGGAAGUGCACUUGAUACUGUAAAUCUUGAGUGUGGUAGAGGUUACUGGAAUUGUUGGUGUAGUGGUGAAAUACGUAGAUAUCAACAGGAAUACCGGAGGCGAAGGCGAGUAACUGGGCCAACACUGACGCUGAGACCCGAAAGCGUGGGGAUCAAACAGGAUUAGAAACCCCGGUAGUCC